GUGACAAUGGCCUUUUGGAGCGUGUUUAUUCCGUGAGCAUGAAUACAUUUGCAUUUUUCCUCUGCUUUUUCCGACGUUCAUGGCAAAAAUGCAAAUGAGCCGUGUUGAAAACUGGGAAAACAAACGGGCAGCAGAUUUUAUUUUCCAGACAGAUUAAGGUCAGUAAUUCUGGUUCCCUCAACGCUGAUGCCCAUCAUUGUGUUCCUGGUUCAGUGCCUGCAGACGCUCACAUUCUGCAUGGAUGUCCACAUUAUCGACGUACAGGCGGGCGAGCGAGUGGGCCACGCCGCACAUAUGUGCCCUGUGCAUGUGAACAAUGCCACCAGUUGCCGUGGUUUGGAAGGUUCCUGGUUGUCUGCCAGUUUGCAUAGGAGGAGGGAGGAGGAGGAGGUGGGGGCGAAAACUGACCGAGGCACAAAGGAGGGUGUGAACUGACUCCAGGGGAGGAGGAGGAGGAGGAGGAGGAGAAGGGAGGAGGUGGCGGUGAAGCCAGAGGCGGUGGUAAGUGGAGAUAAAGCCAGACAGAUGGGGCAGACAAAGAGGCAAAGACUCCCACCCUGCAUGUCAACAACACCCACCGCCUCCUCUAAAGUAUGCUGAUGUUUGUGGAAUGUAUAUAGCAUGAGCA